rnacentral:rRNA from 1 species
AGCAGCCGCCACGGUAAUACGGAGGGUGCAAGCGUUAUCCGGAUUCACUGGGUUUAAAGGGUGCGUAGGCGGAUCUGUAAGUCAGUGGUGAAAUCUCCAGGCUUAACCUGGAAACUGCCGUUGAUACUAUAGGUCUUGAAUUUUGUGGAGGUUAGCGGAAUAUGUCAUGUAGCGGUGAAAUGCAUAGAUAUGACAUAGAACACCAAUUGCGAAGGCAGCUGGCUACACAACUAUUGACGCUGAGGCACGAAAGCGUGGGGAUCAAACAGGAUUAGAUACCCGCGUAGUCCCUGUCUCUUAUAC